UACGUAGGGUGCGAGCGUUGCCCGGAUUUAUUGGGCGUAAAGGGCGCGUAGGCGGCCAGCACAAGUCAGUUGUGAAAUCUCCGAGCUUAACUCGGAAAGGUCAACUGAUACUGUGCGGCUAGAGUGCGGAAGGGGCAACUGGAAUUCUUGGUGUAGCGGUGAAAUGCGUAGAUAUCAAGAGGAACACCUGCGGCGAAGGCGGGUUGCUGGGCCGACACUGACGCUGAGGCGCGAAAGCGUGGGUAGCAAACAGG
rnacentral:rRNA from 1 species